rnacentral:rRNA from 1 species
CCUACGGGGGGCAGCAGUGAGGAAUAUUGGUCAAUGGGCGGAAGCCUGAACCAGCCAAGUAGCGUGCAGGAUGACGGCCCUACGGGUUGUAAACUGCUUUUAUACGGGAAUAACGCGCCUUACGUGUAGGGCUUUGCAUGUACCGUAUGAAUAAGGACCGGCUAAUUCCGUGCCAGCAGCCGCGGUAAUACGGAGGGUCCGGGCGUUAUCCGGAUUUAUUGGGUUUAAAGGGAGCGUAGGGCGAAUGUCAAGGGGGCUGUGAAAUGUCCGGGCUCAACCCGGGCCUUGCAGCGCAAACUGGCGUGCGUGAGUCCGCGGAAGGCAGGCGGAAUUCGUGGUGUAGCGGUGAAAUGCUUAGAUAUGACGAAGAACCCCGAUUGCGAAGGCAGCUUGCUGCAGCGGAACUGACGCUGAUGCUCGAAAGCGCGGGUAUCGAACAGGAUUAGAUACCCCUGUAGUC